GAAGGGGGCUAGCGUUGUUCGGAAUUACUGGGCGUAAAGCGCACGUAGGCUGACUGGUCAGUUGGGGGUGAAAUCCCGGGGCUCAACCUCGGAACUGCCUUCAAUACUGCCAGUCUUGAGUCCGAGAGAGGUGAGUGGAAUUCCUAGUGUAGAGGUGAAAUUCGUAGAUAUUAGGAAGAACACCAGUGGCGAAGGCGGCUCACUGGCUCGGUACUGACGCUGAGGUGCGAAAGCGUGGGGAGCAAACAGGGAUUAGAUACCCUGGUAGUCCACGCCGUAAACGAUGAAUGCUAGCCCGUCGGGAAGCUUGCUUUUCGGUGGCGCAGCUAACGCAUUAAGCAUUCCGCCUGGGGAUACGGCCGCAAGGUUA
rnacentral:rRNA from 1 species